UAUGUAGGUUGCCACUUAAGUCGACUGUUGAAAGACCGGGAUUUUAGACCUCGGAAGCACAGUUGAAACUGAGUGGGCUAGAGUCUGGGGAGUGUUCAUCGAAUUUCUUGAGAAGUGUUGAAAUGCUAACAUACUUGAAGGACUGCUGAUUGCGGAAGCAUUGUUCAACUUCAGACUGACGCUGAGGUACUAAGGCACUGGUAUCAAACGGGA
rnacentral:rRNA from 1 species